GUGUGUGUGUGUGUGUGUGUGUGUGUGUGUGUGUGUGUCUGUCUGUGUGCGUGCACUCAUGCAGUUUGGAGAGCUUUAUAUAGCCAGACUUCUCCAGGAAGGAGGACUGCCCUGAAUGCCACUGACCAUAUUUGAGUGUGCUGCAGCAAAGCGUAACUGAGACAACUCGCUCACCCCCCAUCUUUGCUGUAGUUCCCCUUCCUCGCCACUAGUAGGCAAUGUCACACCUUGCACUGAAGGCCUACACACACACACACACACACACACACACACACACACACACACACACACACAGUAACCCCGCCUCCUCUUUCCAGCACUUUCUGCUCUCUUCUCGGUGACAAUCACCUCUGCUGACCGCUCUCCUGUUUGCUCCUCAUCUUCAGCGUCCAGAGGUCGGCGUGGGGGAGCGGUGUGUGCGCGAGGCAGCAUGCCAUGUCGUCCCCCGGCUCCUCGUUUGUGCAGAUCAAGCACCAGGACCUGCUCUUCUACGAGAACUGCGGAGGAGGCAGCUUCGGGAGCGUCUACAGGGCCUUGUGGGUGUCUCAGGACAAGGAAGUGGCAGUGAAGAAGCUCCUGAAGAUCGACAAAGAGGCGGAGAUUCUCAGUGUUCUCAGUCACAAGAACAUCAUUCAGUUUUAUGGAGCCGUGCUGGAAUCUCCCAACUAUGGCAUCGUCACAGAAUAUGCCAGUGGAGGCUCUCUGUAUGAGUUCCUGUCCAGUGAGCAGAGUGAGGAGAUGGACAUGGAGCAGAUCAUGACCUGGGCCAUACAGAUAGCCAAAGGGAUGCAUUACCUCCAUGCAGAAGCUCCCAUCAAAGUCAUCCACAGAGACCUCAAGUCACGCAAUGUGGUCAUGACAGCAGACAGAGUGCUGAAGAUUUGUGACUUUGGUGCAUCAAAGUUCUUGUGCCACACCACCCACAUGACGGUGGUGGGCACAUUUCCCUGGAUGGCUCCUGAGGUCAUCCAGAGCCUGCCCGUCUCUGAGACGUGUGACACUUACUCCUACGGCGUGGUGCUGUGGGAGAUGCUGACUCGAGAAGUUCCUUUCAAGGGCUUUGAAGGACUGCAGGUUGCAUGGCUGGUGGUGGAGAAACAAGAGAGGCUGACCAUCCCCACCAGCUGUCCAGCAAGUUUUGCAGAGCUGAUGAGGAAGUGUUGGCAAGCCGAGCCAAAGGAACGUCCACAGUUUAAACAGGUGCUGGUAACCUUGGAGACCAUGGCUAACGACAGUAGGCUACCUGAGCAGUGCAACUCCUUUCUACAUAACAAGGACCAGUGGAGGUGUGAAAUCGAGUCCACCUUGGAGCGUCUGCGUAAGUUGGAGAGAGAGCUGUACUCCAAGGAGAAGGAGCUGGAGGAGCGGGAGAGGAGGCUGCGGCUGUGGGAGGAGAGACUGAUGGAGAGAUCCACCAUGACUCCCAGUCCCACCUCCUUACUGAUGGAGCGCUCACAGUUCUUCACACCGCUCUCCAUUGGCUCCUCGGGUUCUUCCUUCUUCCGCUCGCACUCUCAAGACUCCAACAGUGCGGGGGUCAGCAGUGCGGGGGUCAGCUGCCUCCUCCGCACCCUCAGCAACGGCGACAGCGAGCGCGGGAGCAGCGCGGUCCUGGAGAGGGGGGCGGGCUCUCUGGAUGGCGGGCGGCUGCACGUCAUGCUGCGAGGCCUGCAGGGGCGGUUGGGAGAGGAGGAGGAGGAGGAGGAGGAGGGCACCCUGGAGGAGAAAGGUUGGGCCCAGCGGGACGAGGGCGGGAGCGUGGAGGGAGGACGUGUGCAGGUGACGCUCAGGAGCUUCCCGGGGGGCAGGAUGGAGCGAGAGGAGAGGACGUGGGAGGGAGGGGAGGUGGAGGGAGGGGGCGUGCAGAGGAGCAGGGUGACCACCAUCCUCAGAGGAUACUCGGGGGGCUUCGCAGAGGACGAGGGCCAGAAGGAGGCGGAGGAGGCGGAGGAGGGCGGCCUGGAAGCAGGGAGGCUUCCAAGCAUGUUUCAGGGUCUCUACGGCAGCUUGGGGGAGCGGCUGUCCUUGGACAUGGACCACAUGGACAUGGGAGACCUGGGGGUGGUGAAGGUCAGGAGCGAGCUGGGGGUGAGGGGUCACAGGAGCGACAUGGUGGGUCACUCGGGGGUGCAGGUGAGCAUGCGGGCCUCGUCCAAUCAGAACUCUGUGAAGAGCUGCAGCGUGCGACACGGCUCCAAAAUCAACAUGGCCUCCGCCGCCUUGGACAUGAUGGAGCUGGACUGGUCUGACAGCGAUUAGCACCUUUUUCCUCUGUGCUCUACUCUACAUACCUAUUUAAAUAGAUAUCUACCUACUGUAGACUUACUCUACAUACCUAUUUAAAUAGAUAUUUACCUACUGUAGACUUACCGUACCUAUUUAAAUAGGUAUGUACCUACUGUAAACUUACUCUACAUACCUAUUUAAAUAGGUAAGUACCUACUGUAGACUUACCUACCUAUUUAAAUAGGUAAGUACCUACUGUAAACGUCACCCCUCACAGUCACAAGUCACACACCUUGUUUUUCUUGGCGUAGCGUGUAGAUUUGACACUUUGACAUUGUAGCUCAAACUGUAAUUUUCUGUGGGAAUUUUUGCCAUUUUCAUUUUUCAAUAAAAAGACCGAUACAAAAAAAAAACGGAGUUUAAACUCAGGAGGCUCUUACUGCAGAAAAUAGGUGAGAGUGCAUCGCUGUAGAUGCCCACAAUGUAUCCCUGAGGGGUGUCGUUGGUGACACUGUUGGUGACACUGCGCCCAGUCAAAGGUUGUACAAUUUACAAUUUACAAUUAAGGGCUCGUAUCAUGAUUUUUGUUUCCAUUUUCCAAAGACACAACAUGUAGUGAGGGUUGUUUGGUCGACAUCUUGCAAGGAUUCUGCUGUGAAGACACUUUUUAUCAAGCCAACUUUUGUCUGCCUUCAAAAGGUUCAUUUUGAGAGGCGGAGUGGUGGGACGCAAAGGAAGACCUCCUUACCACACAACAGUUGUUUUUAAGAGCCGUCUCAUUUUGAGCUGACUUUCACCACAACACAACUUCUGCACGAUGAAGUCAGACCGUGUUUGCUCGGCGGAUCAAGGAGGAAGGAGACGACACAAAG